rnacentral:lncRNA from 1 species
AUAUAUCUUGGAUUAUGCAUAAUAUUGUCUCCGACAUGAUAAAUUACCAAGAUUAAAAUGUUUCUAAUCAUGAUUAGUCUCACUCUUUGAUAUUUCCUGAAAACUUGCAAUUAUUGAAAAAUCAAUUUAAAACCCUAUGUUACUUAAGUCAUUGUGGAAUAUGAGAUGGUAGAGCAUGAGUUUCUUAUUCUUGAUAUCAUCGUUGAUUGGAGAAUUUAUUCAAAAAUUCUAGCCACCAUCCUCAGUGUUUUAUAUGCCUGAUAAAACUAAAAAUAUUAAUUAUGAUUAUAAAAGCUAUCUACUCUGUAUUGAGUCUGUUCAAAAUGAGUUAGACCCUUGUUGAGAGAUUUAUCAUGC